GUUGGACACCACACGGCAGGACCAAACCCGAUCGAACCGUUAUACCUAGGAUUUCUGUCAGCUAAUGUGUGAUCUGUCAGGUUUUGAAAAUGGGCCGACAAUCGGCCAACAGCUCUAAGAUGGUGUAGUGUGCACUGGGCUUUACACUAAGGAAAUGAGGAAGGGAGAUUCAGAG